GUGGGGGAUAUUGCACAAUGGGGGAAACCCUGAUGCAGCAACGCCGCGUGAAGGAAGAAGGUCUUCGGAUUGUAAACUUUUGUCUUGCGGGACGAAUAAUGACGGUACCGCAGGAGGAAGCCACGGCUAACUACGUGCCAGCAGCCGCGGUAAUACGUAGGUGGCGAGCGUUGUCCGGAAUUACUGGGUGUAAAGGGUGCGUAGGCGGAUUUGCAAGUCAGGUGUGAAAACUAUCGGCUUAACCGGUAGCCUGCACUUGAAACUGUAAGUCUUGAGUGGUGAAGAGGUAAGCGGAAUUCCUAGUGUAGCGGUGAAAUGCGUAGAUAUUAGGAGGAACACCAGUGGCGAAGGCGGCUUACUGGGCACUAACUGACGCUGAGGCACGAAAGCAUGGGGAGCAAACAGGAUUAGAUACCCGGGUAGUCC
rnacentral:rRNA from 1 species